AUUUGAACGCUAAGAAGGAUUAUUAGAAGGACGAGAUUUGUCAGAGAGCGUGUGGCUGGUGUGAACAUGCAAAUUUAGUACUUCGAACUCGCCUUUGAGUUUCUUGCUGAACAUGGAGAGGUAGGCAAGGACGGUAUCUCCCGUUACGAGAAAAAGCGUCAGCAAUUGCUGGAACAUAGGUGGUACCGCGAUUUAUUCGUCCUAUAU
rnacentral:ncRNA from 1 species